rnacentral:rRNA from 1 species
UAUGGUAAUUGUGGCAGCCGCGGUAAUACGGAGGAUGCGAGCGUUAUCCGGAUUUAUUGGGUUUAAAGGGAGCGCAGACGGGAGAUUAAGUCAGUUGUGAAAGUUUGCGGCUCAACCGUAAAAUUGCAGUUGAUACUGGUUUCCUUGAGUGCAGUUGAGGCAGGCGGAAUUCGUGGUGUAGCGGUGAAAUGCUUAGAUAUCACGAAGAACCCCGAUUGCGAAGGCAGCUUGCUAAACUGUAACUGACGUUCAUGCUCGAAAGUGUGGGUAUCAAACAGG